rnacentral:rRNA from 1 species
CGGAGGAUCCGAGCGUUAUCCGGAUUUAUUGGGUUUAAAGGGUGCGUAGGCGGCCUGUUAAGUCAGGGGGUGAAAGACGGUAGCUCAACUAUCGCAGUGCCCUUGAUACUGAUGGGCUUGAAUGUACUAGAGGUAGGCGGAAUGUGACAAGUAGCGGUGAAAUGCAUAGAUAUGUCACAGAACACCAAUUGCGAAGGCAGCUUACUAUGGUAUUAUUGACGCUGAGGCACGAAAGCGUGGGGAUCAAACAGGAUUAGAUACCCUGGUAGUCCACGCCCUAAACGAAUGAAUACUCGAUGUUAGCGAUAAUACAGUUAAGCGUCAAAGCGAAAGCGUUAAGUAUUCCACCUGGGGAGUACGACCCGCAAGGGUG